CCUAUGACGCUGCUUGCUCAUCCUUAUACCGACUUGCCAAUCAUUAAGCAACUACGUUUCUAAGCAAGUUUUAUUGUUUGUUCCGCCAAUUUGGCGACUCAACUGUGUAGAACAAAAUACGGGUUAUGAUGGAGAAAGGCUGGCCCACCCGAGCACGUUCAUUGUAAUUGAUAACAAGGCGCGCAUCCAAGCGACGAUGCUGUUCGACAUACUAUGUAAAUCGGCGGGGUAGGCCUCUCGAACGUGUUUUAAUGUUAAAGAACAAGGAUGAGGCCAUAUCAAACUGUGGAAAGAAACGGGCCAUGAAGAUAGCGGUUGACAAGGUGGACGUAAACGAGGCAGACAUGUUGAAUGCUUGUUUUGAGGCGUCAAUCAUCUUCGGGCUUUGCUGAAGCAGCUCUACCUUGCGAGCAUGGAUGUCUAAAAGCAGUUUCUCACAGAGGCCCACCUAAAAACACCCCUGGCGGUUCAACGAGCAGUUCAUACUGUCCUAGGCGAGCUGCAACCGCUGCCGCUGGUGAAAGAUGAUUGCGACGUGGUACCACUCAACUUCAAGGAUUAUUAACGUGGAGUCAUUGAACGCGAUAUCUACUAUUUUCAGCCCUCAGGCGAGAUCGAUUACCAAACAAGGCAUAUUUGAUGUAGCUGAAGGGGAGCCUCUCCGGAAUGUCCAUCCUGAAGAAGCCCUUGUUACAAGCCACAGGAUCUGGCCAAUGCCAUGUCCCAGUUGGAGGUGCUAGUAAAGAAGCAAUUAAGCAGCACCCCA